rnacentral:rRNA from 1 species
AUUCUAUUGCCAGCGCUUAAUUGCGCGGCGAUAAACCUUACACACUUUGUUUUUAUUAUUAAAGACACCAUUGCUUUGGUGGAUGAGUGUAAAAGCUUGUCCGCCAGAGGUUAACUAAAACUCAAUUAUUUAAAGGUAACUUUUUAAAUUGUCAAUAAUAAUUUGUCUGAUUAAUUUCGGAGAAAACAAAUAUUUAAAACUUUCAACAACGGAUCUCUUGGUUCUCGCAUCGAUGAAGAACGCAGCGAAUUGCGAUAAGUAUUGUGAAUUGCAGAAUUUCGUGAAUCAUCGAAUCUUUGAACGCACAUUGCACCCUGUGGUAUUCCACAGGGUAUGCCUGUUUGAGCGUCAUUUCUCUCUCAAAACAUUAGUUUUGGUAUUGAGUGAUACUCGGGUUUUAGGCUUGAGUUUGCUUGAAAAGUAUUGGCAAGGGAAGUAUUUCUUGUGAAAGCUAUUUAUUCAAUGUAUUAGGUUUAUCCAACUCGUUGAUUGAUAGACGGAACUCGUUUUGCUAUUAGGCCCGGCCUUACAACAAACAAACCAAAGUUUGACCUCAAAUCAGGUAGGAUUACCCGCUGAACUUAAGCAUAUCAAU